rnacentral:rRNA from 1 species
GACGUAGGGCGCGAGCGUUGUCCGGAUUUAUUGGGCGUAAAGAGCUCGUAGGCGGUUUGUCGCGUCUGCCGUGAAAGUCCGGGGCUCAACUCCGGAUCUGCGGUGGGUACGGGCAGACUAGAGUGAUGUAGGGGAGACUGGAAUCCUGGUGUAGCGGUGAAAUGCGCAGAUAUCAGGAGGAACACCGAUGGCGAAGGCAGGUCUCUGGGCAUUAACUGACGCUGAGGAGCGAAAGCAUGGGGAGCGAACAGG